rnacentral:lncRNA from 1 species
GGUCCGUCCUUCGUCUCUCGCUCUCUCUCCUCUCUCUCUCUUCUCUCUCUCCUCCUCUCUCUCUUCUCUCUCUCCUCCUCUCUCUCUCUCUCUGCCUCUCCCUGCUCUUUGUCUCUCUCUUAUCUCUCCCCUCUGUCUCCCUCUGUCCUCGGUGUCUCUCUCGCAUCCUCCUCUGUCUCCGCCCCACCUCACGGCACACGUACUCACACCUGCCCCAGACCUUUCCCUCUCCUGAGCUCCCUUUGUCUUGGUCCCUCUCCCGUUGCCUGGUAACAGCCCUCCCCUUCACCAGCUCCGCGGAAACCAUAGCAACGGGCAGCCGGAAGAUGCGGCCAUUCCUCUCCCUUUUGUCCAUUGCAUUUCAGCAGCGCCCGCGCACGUGGACGCUCCAAUUACAGUCUGCCAGGAAUAGAGCAUGCCUCUUCAGCCGGGACCCCAGGAUGGACACAGAGCAGAUCUAAAC